AAUAUUGGCCAAUGGGGGCAACCCUGAUCCAGCCAUGCCGCGUGUGUGAAGAAGGUGUUCUGAUUGUAAAGAACCUUAUGUUGGGAGGAAGGGCUUUAGGUUAAUACCCUGAAGAGUUGACGUUACCUACAGAUUAAGCACCGGCUAACUCAGUGCCAGCAGCCGCGGUAAUACAGAGGGUGCAAGCGUUAAUCGGAAUUACUGGGCGUAAAGCGCGCGUAGGUGGUUCAGUAAGAUGGGUGUGAAAGCCCCGGGCUUAACCUGGGAACUGCUUUCAUAACUGCUGAGCUAGAGUACGGUAGAGGGUAGUGGAAUUUCCUGUGUAGCGGUGAAAUGCGUAGAUAUAGGAAGGAACACCAGUGGCGAAGGCGACUACCUGGACUGAUACUGACACUGAGGUGCGAAAGCGUGGGGAGCAAAC
rnacentral:rRNA from 1 species